rnacentral:lncRNA from 1 species
ACUCCAACGCUCCCCUCUACCCAUUUUCUCUCCAAAUACAGACCUUUUCCGCCCGAAAACCGGUCAAAACAAAAACCAUAAAAAUCAACCCAAAAUGUUCACACACAAAAAAUUCGAUUCAUAUAACCUCAGCUUUGUGAUUGCUUGUUGAUGCUUCUCCCGAAACUGUUCUGCUGGGUUUCAUCUUGAAAAAUUCGAUUGGUAUUUUAAUUUUUCGGCGAGGUUGUUGUUGAGGUUUUGGCAGUCGCCGUUGAGUUUUUGCCGUAUUCACAGCCAUUUAGAAGCUUUUGCUGACAUUGUAAAAGUUCUGGAGAACAUAUCUCAAAAAUAAAGUUUCUUUUAAUUAUGUCUUUUACCAUUAAUUUUAUUUUGUUUGAAUUGUUGCCGAUUAUUUGUUGGAAAUAAAUGUUGCCAAUUAAAAUUUGAUUUGUGUACGGAAUUUUAAGUGAUUAAGAAGCCAUUUGUUUGCUUAAGGAUUUACGUCUCUGGUUGGCAUUUAAUUGGAUAGUUAAAUAUUGCUAGCUAAAUAUUGGAUUUGGUUUAUAUUGAUAAUCAAGCUAGCUUUAGGUGAUUUGAAUUAUUGGAUUGAUGAGAAGUGAGAGGUGAUGUUGUACGUGUCAAUUGUCUGUAGCUUAUGCAUCUCAUAGUUUGUGUUAAGAGGUAAGAUUAGUACAGUUUCUUGCGAUGAUGACAGAUGAGAAUUUUAUUUUGUAGCAUUCCAUAUUGAGUCCGGAAUCAAAAUAUGACUCUUUUAGAUUCAAAGUAUACAAAUAUGCGAAAAAAAGUUAUAUUUUUAGGUAUAAUGCCAUAAUACCUGAUGCUAUAUAUUAAUAUUAACUGCACUAUUAAUAUAUAGCGCCAGGUAUUGUGGUGCUAUACUGCAAAAUCUGAUAGAGACUGAUAUAGCGUGGCAAUAACUGGCGCUAUACCCCUUUUUAAAAAUCAUCUAUCUUCUUCAUCGUCUACCUCCAUUAUUUUACUCCUUCUUCCUCUCUUCUUGUCCCCCAUUCCGAUUCUGUCCACCUUGUAAAAAAAAAAUUUGGGUCCCCCUAGCAAAUAAAACUUGAAGAACGUAGGUCCCGCAAUUGAAUAGAGCUUCGUAUUAUGUUGAUUCACACUUUCGGAAUCAAAAUUUUAAUCUAUUUGCUUUCCGAAAAUUCUAAAUCGAGGUAUUUCGAUUUAUUUUAAGUUGAAAUUUUUAUAAUAAUGCAUACUUGAUUUGUAUAUGUUCUAUUUCGGUUUGUGUUUUUUUUCGAAAACCGCAUGUUAUAUUUACCCGGAUUUAAAUUUAGUGUUUUUAAAAAAAAAUAUAAAUUUAUCAAAUAAAUUUGUCUGAUAAUAUCCUCAUUUAUGUAUAUGUAUUUUCAUGUCAUUUUGUGUUUUAUUUGUAAUUAAAUUAUUUGUUGUUUAUGUUUAGUUUAGAUUAAUUUUUAGCAUAGUAAAAUCUAGACCUUUUUAGCGUAGUAAAACGUAGACCCUUUUAGCGUAGUAAAAUUUAGAGCCUUGUAGCAUAGUAAUGUGUAGUAUUUUAGCUUAGAAUUCCUUUUGUUUAAGUAUCUUAUAUUGGUAGUUGAAAAUGCAAACUUAAUACAAUUAAGUUAAUAAUUGUAUCAACACACAUGAAUAGUAAUUUGUAUAAUUAAGUUAUUAAAAAAAUAUGAAUUUAAAUUACAAAAAAAUACAUAAUUAUUAAUGAUAGUUUGGUGCCACUGCGCCUCAAAAUAUCGAGCCCGAAACCCAUAGGUAUAUGUAUAUAUAUAUAUAUAUUACCAUUAAGCCAUUAAGCUUCGAUUUGAUUCGAUUUUUGAUUUCGGAUCGAUUUUGAACACCCCUAUUUAAGACCCAGCGCCGUGACCACCCAAAAGAAUGGACUCCCAUUUUCUCCAAGAUAAAUAGCAUCAGAAGACUCCCCCCUCCCCCACCCCCACAGUUGAAGACCACUCCAACGCUCCCCUCUACCCAUUUUCUCUCCAAAUACAGACCUUUUCCGCCCGAAAACCGGUCAAAACAAAAACCAUAAAAAUCAACCCAAAAUGUUCACACACAAAAAAUUCGAUUCAUAUAACCUCAGCUUUGUGAUUGCUUGUUGAUGCUUCUCCCGAAACUGUUCUGCUGGGUUUCAUCUUGAAAAAUUCGAUUGGUAUUUUAAUUUUUCGGCGAGGUUGUUGUUGAGGUUUUGGCAGUCGCCGUUGAGUUUUUGCCGUAUUCACAGCCAUUUAGAAGCUUUUGCUGACAUUGUAAAAGUUCUGGAGAACAUAUCUCAAAAAUAAAGUUUCUUUUAAUUAUGUCUUUUACCAUUAAUUUUAUUUUGUUUGAAUUGUUGCCGAUUAUUUGUUGGAAAUAAAUGUUGCCAAUUAAAAUUUGAUUUGUGUACGGAAUUUUAAGUGAUUAAGAAGCCAUUUGUU